UGCGGGUCCUUUGGGCCCAACCUCCCAUCCGUGUCUAUUAUACCCUGUUGCUUCGGCGGGCCCGCCGCUUGUCGGCCGCCGGGGGGGCGCCUUUGCCCCCCGGGCCCGUGCCCGCCGGAGACCCCAACACGAACACUGUCUGAAAGCGUGCAGUCUGAGUUGAUUGAAUGCAAUCAGUUAAAACUUUCAACAAUGGAUCUCUUGGUUCCGGCAUCGAUGAAGAACGCAGCGAAAUGCGAUAACUAAUGUGAAUUGCAGAAUUCAGUGAAUCAUCGAGUCUUUGAACGCACAUUGCGCCCCCUGGUAUUCCGGGGGGCAUGCCUGUCCGAGCGUCAUUGCUGCCCUCAAGCCCGGCUUGUGUGUUGGGUCGCCGUCCCCCUCUCCGGGGGGACGGGCCCGAAAGGCAGCGGCGGCACCGCGUCCGAUCCUCGAGCGUAUGGGGCUUUGUCACAUGCUCUGUAGGAUUGGCCGGCGCCUGCCGACGU
rnacentral:rRNA from 1 species